CGAUGACAACAGCGUCGAUGAAGGUCGUUGGUGAUUUAAAUGGGAUUCGUGCUUGAUUUGUUUAGAAAAAACAACUUUACAGUUGAAUCCAGCAGGUGUGUGACAGAUGUUCAGACAAUUGACAAAGCAUUUGGUGACCAGUCUGUUUUUACAAUAACAUGGAAGUGAUUUACCUGAUGUCUUGCGGAUAAUGUUAGAAAUCCUGACAUAAUGGAUAUCAUGAUUUGCUGUAUAUGUCACCAUGCAGUUGAAGACAACCAAGGCUCUAAACUUACGGUAAAAGGAUGCAGUGGAAUAAAUGAUGCUAGCUUGAAGAGACAGGAUAAUGUUCAGGCUGUUCCAGGAAAUUUUGUUCACAUUGCAUGUCGAAAGACGUACACAAAUGCUAAUGUUAUUGUUCGCGAUACAAAAGAAAACCUUAGUCCAAACACCUGAUUUGUGAGGUCUAAAGCUGAUGUAUUGAAUUUUCAAGAACAUUGUAUAUUUUGUGGUCAUUCUGCUAAAUACAAUGACAGAAAACGCGGUUUGGAUGUUUUUCCAGUAAGGAAAUAAGAGUUUCAAAAAACUAUAAUAGAGUUGUGUUCAGCUAGAGGAGAUGAUUGGGCUGAUAAGGUCCGGGGCAGGAUAGAAUAUGUAAAUGACCUACCAGCAGUUGAUGCAGUUUACCACCAGUCCUGUAGCAUCAAUUUUAGAACAUUUAAAGAUAUGCCAACACAUUUCCGCAGUGUUACCGAACCUAUGACGAUAACAUCACCAAUACGACGCAGACCCACGAACGAAGCAGCACAUCUAGCUUUUUAACAAGUGAUCGCAUCAUUAAAAGAAAGUGACGAUGAGCAAAUAACAGUUACAGAUUUAGUUGACCAAAUUACAUGACUUCUAUUCACAAGGAAAGUUAGAUAAUGCCGAAGCCCAAAAAGUGACUCUUUUAAAAACAGCAGCUAAGUUAAUUCAAUAUGAAGGAAUGAAUCAAGGAUGUAAAAAGUGACAAAUUAGUUUAUCCAAAUCCGGAUGAUAUCGCCAAUAAGCAGUUUGUGCCUGAAAGCUUAUUAAUCUUUUUAAGAGAAAUAUUUUCGGGGAAGGAUUCUGAUGUAAAAUUGUGCUCAAUAGGUAAAGCCAUUAUGCAAGCUUGUCGACCUAGAACUAUCAUAGCUCCAUUACAGUUGGGGUUUGCAGUUCAGCUCCAUCAUCAUUUUGCGUCAAGGUAUCUCAUUGAUGUGUUGAAUAGCCUUGAAUUUUGUGUGUCUUACUCUGAAGUGCAGAUGUUCGAGUCAAGUGCAGUUUUUACAAACAAUACAAAUAUUGAAAACUAUCAUGAAGACAUGUUCAUUCAAUAUGUGGGUGACAAUGUAGACCAUAAUCUACGGAUUUUGGAUGGACACAAUACCUUUCAUGGUAUGGGUAUGAUUGCCUGUGUUACACCGGCAAACUUUGGUUAUAAACCAGUGACAAGAAGGCGCAUUACAACUGAGGAUCUCUUGUCAAUUGGAAGGAUAAAUAAACAAUAUUACACAGCACCAUGUAAUUCAAAGCCUUCACUGAAAUUGUCAGAGAUAACAUUACAGAAUAAAACUCGUUUAUAUGAUGCUUACAACAAAAUUUCAUUUCUUGCGCAGAUCACUUGGCCACACAGGAAACCUGGACCCGAAUGGUCAGGACUUAUGCAGAUGAUAAGUAAAGGUGAACACCCAGGUAAAUCAUCGGUUAUCCUGCUACCUAUGAUUGAUAUGGAUCCGAACGACAUGUCAUGCGUUUUCACAACACUUCAGUAUAUUUCUAGCCAUGCAUACAAGUACAAGCAAACCGCAGUUGUCACAUUUGAUCAACCAUUGUAUUAAACAGCAGUAACAAUUGUAUCUAAAGCUAAUGAUGGUACUUUGCUAAAGGACAUGGUAGUUCGACUAGGCGGAUUUCACUGCAUAAUGAGCUUUCUGGGAUGCAUUGGCCAAUUCAUGUCAGGCACAGGAUUGAAUGAAUUGUUUGAAACAGUGUAUGCUCCAAAUACUGUGCCACACAUUAUGAGCGUGAAAGCAGUUGCAAGAGCUGUUCGCGGAGACUCGUUAGCCUCAACUGCCCCUAUGUAUUAUUUUGAUGCGUGAGGAAAUAAUUAGUACUGUAGAAAACCCUAUUGAUGAUAAUAACAACACACCAGCAACUCCAAGUAAAACAAACUGCAAUAAUGCAGAAAGUACAUUUGAAGGAAUUAGCUACACUGUGUCUCCCAGCAUGCAAACAAUGACUGACCUCUAUGAAAAGCUUGUAUCUGGUAAAAUCUAGCACAAGAUGUGUAUGACAAUGAACUUUUAGAUAAGUUAUUUCGAUCCUGGUUGGACACAAAUCUCGUCUGAAAGUGUACCCAUCAGCAGCAUUGUGGAUCCAGUAUUUGGAAACUAUGAAGAAACUUCCCUAAAGCCAUCCAAAUGUUUGUCAAGCAUUUCAAAAUGGUUUACAAGUUGUGAGACAAAGUGAAAGAUACUGGGCACGCUUGUCACCAGACCUUGUUAUUGAGCAAGUCUUAAUGAGAAGUGCAAAAACUACAGGUGGAAUGACACGUGGUAAGGGUAUGUCAGAAAGCCAACGUACACAAUGGCUUUUAUACAUGCCUACAUGUGUUAAAAUG